AUCUGUUUUGUUAGACCGAUUUAACAAGUCUUUUACAAAAAAAAAAUAUCCGUAAGUUAACCAAAAAAUUAGAAAUCACGCGCGAAUCCAAACCCAUUUUUAUCCUUCAUACUUUGUUAUUUUGCAGACCAAUCACAAAUUAAUCACCCAUUUUUCCAUUCUUCGACCUUUAAACUUCAUUUUUCCAUUUUUCCAUUUUUAAACUUCAUUUUUCAGUAAGAUAAUUAAACACGCGCAGAAGAAGCCAAAAAUUAAACUUCAUCCUUCUAGGUACCUUCAUCAAACCCAGCCACAAGUUAAACACGCGCAAAACGUUUUCAUCAUUUCAUCCUUCCACCUUUAAACUUCAUCUUUCAGUGAAAAUGUGAAUCGUGUAUCCUCGCACCUUUCAGCCUUCAUUGCCGGCGACGAGUUGGUCUGGCGCAACAUUUUUCUACUUCAGCACCAACCACGAGUUUUCUUUGUUUUCCUCUUCCAUCUAUCAAAGAGCAUUUCCGUGUCAAUUAUCGAGAAGUGUUUGUUGAUUUUCUCCGGUUCUAGACAGAGGGAAAAAGAUAGAGCUUCUGGUGGACAAAACUGACAACCUUCAUCACCAAGUUAGUAUGUAGUUUAUGUGCACCUUCCUGUUAUCUAUAGCAUUGGCAGCGGAAUGAAGUUUAUGAAAAAAUUUGUAUACUGAAAGGAGAUUUGUCUUCUGGUGUAUUGGUUAUUUUGACGUGAACACUAAGUUGUAGGUUUCUACUAUAAAAGGAGUUUCUUCUGGGUUUUAAGACAACUUUAUCAGUUCUUAGACAAUCAGACCCACAAUCAUACAUGAGCACCCAAAAAAAUAACAUGACUCUUUUGUUUUAAAUCUUUACCAUGCACUGUUAGAUACACUGGCCAAUAUUUACUUCUGUCCCAUAAAAAUUGUCCUCUCUCACAUGAUAUGUCUCCAACAGUGUAUCCUUCAAACGUAGAUGUUUCAAAGCAUUGUCAAAUUAACUUUUUAUGUAAUUGAGAUCAUUUUACCAUUGUAUAUUUUUUCAGAAGAAGUUAUGGAUCGCAGUUGGAUGAAUGCUAAUCGUUUGAGUGAAGAGUAUGAAAAGGGAGUUGAUGAGUUUUUACAAUUUGUUUUAAAAAAACUUCCUGAAAGUAAAGGAAGGUUUUAUUGUCCUUGUGUUAUUUGUUUAAAUUAUUACAUUUUGAGGAAAUACAAAGUCAUCUUAUUUGUUC